rnacentral:rRNA from 1 species
UACGGAGGAUGCGAGCGUUAUCCGGAUUUAUUGGGUUUAAAGGGUGCGUAGGCGGGAUGCCAAGUCAGCGGUAAAAAUGCGGUGCUCAACGCCGUCGUGCCGUUGAAACUGGCGUUCUUGAGUGGGCGAGAAGUAUGCGGAAUGCGUGGUGUAGCGGUGAAAUGCAUAGAUAUCACGCAGAACUCCGAUUGCGAAGGCAGCAUACCGGCGCCCUACUGACGCUGAGGCACGAAAGCGUGGGUAUCGAACAGG